GAGAAUGCAAGGCAACUCAACGCAAGAAAGGCAUGUGGAGAAAGUGGCAACCAAACGGAAGGAAACUGAGCAGUCCUUUGGGGAUUUGCAAGAAACGUCUUUUAAUUUAACUACGAAGAUCGACUGACGAUAGGGCAAACACGACAUUCCUUUUCAAAUUUGCCGCUGAAUUGUUUAGACGUUUCCAUCAGACCCCUACAACAUAUGGAUUCACCCAGUGGUAUAAAUAAAAAAGUCCAAAGAAAAUUUGGAGUGACUGACAUACGUGAAAAUAAUAGCGGUGCAGAGGAGAGCUCCGCUCAGUUGAGUCAGAGGGAAGAAAAUCUUAGGAAGGACCAAAACGGAGGGAGAGAGUCGGUCACUGAUGGACGAACAAUGCAGUAUUUGAGACAUUUUUCCAGUUAUCAUGGAAUCUUACGAAGAGGAGCUUCAACUCUCCCACCUUCCCUCACUUCUCCAGGGAGAAGGGCCUCCUUCCACGUUAGACCCAGACUCAAUCUGCUGCAGAGGGACAGAGUGGCCACGCUGGCACCAUAAUAGACAGGAGAGUGACUGAAGCCCCUUAAAAACACACCUACACAAUCUGUAUCACAUGGAUUUCUUACAGAUUACAUCGUAUGCCUUCCAUUAGGAUUCUAUUAGGCCUUUGAUUGUGGCAAAUGGAAAUUGAUCAGUGAUUAAAAUCCUUAGCAGUUAAUCCAAUCAAUCAAUCAGUCAGUACUGACUGGAAUGUCACAGAAGAUCUGGUGAUCUGUCUCCAACUGUACCACUCGCUUCACAGCUCUGUGCUGCUGUCAUCAUAGAUCUCAGGUAAAAUACUGUGUUUAUCAUAACAAUAUUUCAAAUUAUUCUAAACUAUAAAAACACAUAAGGCUCUUACAAGAAAUACAAUAUGAAUAGAUCAAGAUGUCAAUAAAUCAUGCAGAAUAGGUUUCCCA
ensembl:lncRNA